rnacentral:rRNA from 1 species
GACGAACGCUGGCGGCGUGCUUAACACAUGCAAGUCGAACGGAAAGGCCCUGCUUGCAGGGUACUCGAGUGGCGAACGGGUGAGUAACACGUGGGUGAUCUGCCCUGCACUUCGGGAUAAGCUGGGAAACUGGGUCUAAUACCGGAUAGGAGCCAUUUUUAGGGUGAUGGUUGGAAAGUUUUUUCGGUGUAGGGUGAGCUCGCGGCCUAUCAGCUUGUUGGUGGGGUAAUGGCCUACCAAGGCGGCGACGGGUAGCCGGCCUGAGAGGGUGGACGGCCACAUUGGGACUGAGAUACGGCCCAGACUCCUACGGGAGGCAGCAGUGGGGAAUAUUGCACAAUGGGCGCAAGCCUGAUGCAGCGACGCCGCGUGGGGGAUGACGGCCUUCGGGUUGUAAACUCCUUUCGCUAGGGACGAAGCUUUUUGUGACGGUACCUAGAUAAGAAGCACCGGCUAACUACGUG